rnacentral:rRNA from 1 species
CAAUAGCGUAUAUUAAAGUUGUUGCAGUUAAAAAGCUCGUAGUUGGACCUUGGACCUGGACAGGCGGUCCGCCUCACGGCGUGUACUGUCUUGCUGGGUCUUUCCUCUUGGUGAUCUGUUGUUUCGGCAGCAGGGAACCAGGACUUUUACUUUGAAAAAAUUAGAGUGUUCAAAGCAGGCUCGACGCCGGAACAUAUUAGCAUGGAAUAAUAAAAUAGGACGUGCGGUUCUAUUUUGUUGGUUUUUGGAAUCGCCGUAAUGAUUAAUAGGGACAGUCGGGGGCAUUAGUACUCACAUGCUAGAGGUGAAAUUCUUGGAUUUUGUGAAGACUAACUUCUGCGAAAGCAUUUGCCAAGGAUGUUUUCAUUAA